rnacentral:rRNA from 2 species
CAAGGCGACGAUCCCUAGCUGGUCUGAGAGGAUGACCAGCCACACUGGAACUGAGACACGGUCCAGACUCCUACGGGAGGCAGCAGUGGGGAAUAUUGCACAAUGGGCGCAAGCCUGAUGCAGCCAUGCCGCGUGUAUGAAGAAGGCCUUCGGGUUGUAAAGUACUUUCAGCGGGGAGGAAGGUGUUGUGGUUAAUAACCGCAGCAAUUGACGUUACCCGCAGAAGAAGCACCGGCUAACUCCGUGCCAGCAGCCGCGGUAAUACGGAGGGUGCAAGCGUUAAUCGGAAUUACUGGGCGUAAAGCGCACGCAGGCGGUCUGUCAAGUCGGAUGUGAAAUCCCCGGGCUCAACCUGGGAACUGCAUUCGAAACUGGCAGGCUUGAGUCUUGUAGAGGGGGGUAGAAUUCCAGGUGUAGCGGUGAAAUG